CCUACGGCAGGCAGCAGUGGGGAAUAUUGCACAAUGGGGGAAACCCUGAUGCAGCGACGACGCGUGAGUGAAGAAGUAUUUAGGUACGUAAAGCUCUAUCAGCAGGGAAGAAAAUGACGGUACCUGACUAAGAAGCCCCGGCUAACUACGUGCCAGCAGCCGCGGUAAUACGUCGGGGGCAAGCGUUAUCCGGCUUUACUGGGUGUAAAGGGAGCGUAGACGGCAGCGCAAGUCUGGAGUGAAAUCCCAUGGCUUAACCAUGGAACUGCUUUGGAAACUGUGCAGCUAGAGUGCAGGAGAGGUAAGCGGAAUUCCUAGUGUAGCUGUGAAAUGCGUAGAUAUUAGGAGGAACACCAGUGGCGAAGGCGGCUUACUGGACUGUAACUGACGUUGAGGCUCGAAAGCGUGGGGAGCAAACAGGAUUAGAUACCCCGGUAGUC
rnacentral:rRNA from 1 species